GAUGAACGCUGGCGGCGUGCUUAACACAUGCAAGUCGAACGAAGCACUUUGAUCGAUUUCUUCGGAUUGAAAUUUUAGUGACUGAGUGGCGGACGGGUGAGUAACGCGUGGGUAACCUGCCUCACACAGGGGGAUAACAGUUGGAAACGGCUGCUAAUACCGCAUAAGCGCACAGUACCGCAUGGUACAGUGUGAAAAACUCCGGUGGUGUGAGAUGGACCCGCGUCUGAUUAGCUAGUUGGCAGGGCAACGGCCUACCAAGGCGACGAUCAGUAGCCGACCUGAGAGGGUGACCGGCACAUUGGGACUGAGACACGGCCCAAACUCCUACGGGAGGCAGCAGUGGGGAAUAUUGCACAAUGGGGGAAACCCUGAUGCAGCGACGCCGCGUGAGCGAAGAAGUAUUUCCGGUAUGUAAAGCUCUAUCAGCA
rnacentral:rRNA from 1 species